CAGCAUAGAGUGUGAUACAGGAUGGUGGAAUUCCGGAUGUAGCGGAGAAAUGCCGUAGAGAUCGGGAGGAACAUCAGUGGCUGAAGGCGGCCAUCAUGGAUCAACACUGACGCCUGAGGCACGAAUGCUGUGGGGAGCAAACAGGAUUAGUAUACCCCUGGUAGCCCACGCCCUAAACGAUGUCGACUAGCCGUUGGGAUCCUUGAGAUCUUAGUGGCGCAGCUAACGCGAUAAGUCGACCGCCUGGGGAGUACGGCCGCAAGGUUAAAACUCAAAUGAAUUGACGGGGGCCCGCACAAGCGGUGGAGUAUGUGGUUUAAUUCGAUGCAACGCGAAGAACCUUACCUGGCCUUGACAUGUCUGGAAUCCUGCAGAGAUGCGGGAGUCCUUCGGGAAUCAGAAUACAGGUGCUGCAAUGGCUGUCGUCAGCUCGUGUCGUGAGAUGUUGGGUUAAGUCCCGCUAACGAGCGCAACCCUUGUCCUUAGUUGCCAGCACGUAAUGGUGGGAACUCCUAAGGAGACCUGCCGGUGACAAACCGGAGGAAGGUGGGGAUGACGUCAAGUCAUAAUGGCCCUUACGGCCAGGGCUUCACACGUCUUCAAUGGUCGGUACAGAGGGUUGCCAAGCCGCGAGGUGGAGCUAAUCCCACAAAACCGAUCGUAGUCCGGAUCGCAGUCUGCAACUCGACUGCGUGAAGUCGGAAUCGCUAGUAAUCGUGAAUCAGAAUGUCACGGUGAAUACGUUCCCGGGCCUUGUACACACCGCCCGUCACACCAUGGGAGUGGGUUGCUCCAGAUGUAGCUAGUCCUCCAGAAAGGCGGUUAGUCUAACUCGCAAGGGGGGACGACGACCACCGGAGUGGUUCAUGACCUGGGGUGAAGCUCGUAACAAGGUAACCAG
rnacentral:rRNA from 1 species